AUGCAGUCGAGCGGACAGAUGGGAGCUUGCUCCCUGAUGUUAGCGGCGGACGGGUGAGUAACACGUGGGUAACCUGCCUGUAAGACUGGGAUAACUCCGGGAAACCGGGGCUAAUACCGGAUGCUUGUUUGAACCGCAUGGUUCAAACAUAAAAGGUGGCUUCGGCUACCACUUACAGAUGGACCCGCGGCGCAUUAGCUAGUUGGUGAGGUAAUGGCUCACCAAGGCGACGAUGCGUAUCCGACCUGAGAGGGUGAUCGGCCACACUGGGACUGAGACACGGCCCAGACUCCUACGGGAGGCAGCAGUAGGGAAUCUUCCGCAAUGGACGAAAGUCUGACGGAGCAACGCCGCGUGAGUGAUGAAGGUUUUCGGAUCGUAAAGCUCUGUUGUUAGGGAAGAACAAGUACCGUUCGAAUAGGGCGGUACCUUGACGGUACCUAACCAGAAAGCCACGGCUAACUACGUGCCAGCAGCCGCGGUAAUACGUAGGUGGCAAGCGUUGUCCGGAAUUAUUGGGCGUAAAGGGCUCGCAGGCGGUUUCUUAAGUCUGAUGUGAAAGCCCCCGGCUCAACCGGGGAGGGUCAUUGGAAACUGGGGAACUUGAGUGCAGAAGAGGAGAGUGGAAUUCCACGUGUAGCGGUGAAAUGCGUAGAGAUGUGGAGGAACACCAGUGGCGAAGGCGACUCUCUGGUCUGUAACUGACGCUGAGGAGCGAAAGCGUGGGGAGCGAACAGGAUUAGAUACCCUGGUAGUCCACGCCGUAAACGAUGAGUGCUAAGUGUUAGGGGUUUCCGCCCCUUAGUGCUGCAGCUAACGCAUUAAGCACUCCGCCUGGGGAGUACGGUCGCAAGACUGAAACUCAAAG
rnacentral:rRNA from 1 species